UGUCUUGGUCCUGGACAUAAGAUUAUCUAGCCAAAGCAUUACACAUGCCAGUCUCCGCACUCCAGUGCCUACAUUCAUAAAACUCAUCAUGAGACAAGAAACAGGUAUCAGGUACACUCACCAAGUAGCCAAUAACGCCUAGCAACGCCACACCCCCACGGAACUCAGCAGUGAUAAACAUUAAGCUAUGAGCUUAAGCUCGACUUAGCCAAAACGAUUAAGGGCCGGUAAAUCUCGUGCCAGCCACCGCGGUUAAACGAGCAGGCCCAAGAUAAUCUUCUUCCGGCGUAAAGCGUGAUUAGAGGAAAUAAUAUUAAUGAUUACAUGAACUAUAAUAAAGUUGUAAAAUACUUAUAUUUAUAAGAACCCCAAUUUUAAUCUACAAAUACCACCUUAACCCACGAAAGCUAGAAAACAAACUAGGAUUAGAUACCCUACUAUGUCUAGCCGUUAAUUUAAGCAAACAUUUACUAAUUUGCCCGCCAGAAAAUUACACGCGAAAGCACAAAAUUCAAAGGACUUGACGGUGUUCCACAUCAACCUAGAGGAGCUUGUCCCGUAACCGAUAAUCCACGUUAAACCUUACCUAUCCUUGCAAAAUCAGCCUAUAUACCGCCGUCGCCAGCCCAUCUAAUGAUAGAAUAUAAAUGGACAAAACUGUAUAAACCACAAAAACGUCAGGUCAAGGUGUAGCUUAUGGAUAGGCUGAGAUGAGCUACAUUUUUUAAUACUAAAAAACUACUGCAAGCAACAUGAAACACGAGCCUUAAAGGUGGAUUUAGCAGUAAACUUGGCAAGAUAUAUGCCACGUUGAAAUUUGCUCUGGAACGCGU
rnacentral:ncRNA from 1 species